UGAGGAAUAUUGGUCAAUGGGCGAGAGCCUGAACCAGCCAUCCCGCGUGCAGGAAGACGGCCCUAUGGGUUGUAAACUGCUUUUGUGCAGGAAGAAUGUACUCAUCGUGAUGGGUAUUGACGGUACUGCAUGAAUAAGCACCGGCUAACUCCGUGCCAGCAGCCGCGGUAAUACGGAGGGUGCAAGCGUUAUCCGGAUUUAUUGGGUUUAAAGGGUGCGUAGGCGGACUAUUAAGUCAGUGGUGAAAUCCUGCAGCUUAACUGCAGAACUGCCAUUGAUACUGAUAGCCUUGAGUUUGGUUAAGGUAGGCGGAAUGUGUAAUGUAGCUGUGAAAUGCUUAGAUAUUACACAGAACACCAAUUGCGUAGGCAGCUUACUGAGCCGACACUGACGCUGAGGCACGAAAGCGUGGGGAUCGAACA
rnacentral:rRNA from 1 species